rnacentral:rRNA from 1 species
ACGAACGCUGGCGGCGCGCCUAACACAUGCAAGUCGAACGAGCGAGAGAGAGCUUGCUUUCUCGAGCGAGUGGCGAACGGGUGAGUAACGCGUGAGGAACCUGCCUCAAAGAGGGGGACAACAGUUGGAAACGACUGCUAAUACCGCAUAAGCCCACGGUGCCGCAUGGCACAGAGGGAAAAGGAGCGAUCCGCUUUGAGAUGGCCUCGCGUCCGAUUAGCUGGUUGGUGAGGUAACGGCCCACCAAGGCGACGAUCGGUAGCCGGACUGAGAGGUUGAACGGCCACAUUGGGACUGAGACACGGCCCAGACUCCUACGGGAGGCAGCAGUGGGGAAUAUUGCACAAUGGGGGAAACCCUGAUGCAGCGACGCCGCGUGGAGGAAGAAGGUCUUCGGAUUGUAAACUCCUGUUGUUGGGGAAGAUAAUGACGGUACCCAACAAGGAAGUGACGGCUAACUACGUGCCAGCAGCCGCGGUAAAACGUAGGUCACAAGCGUUGUCCGGAGUUACUGGGUGUAAAGGGAGCGCAGGCGGGAAGACAAGUUGGAAGUGAAAUCUAUGGGCUCAACCCAUAAACUGCUUUCAAAACUGUUUUUCUUGAGUAGUGCAGAGGUAGGCGGAAUUCCCGGUGUAGCGGUGGAAUGCGUAGAUAUCGGGAGGAACACCAGUGGCGAAGGCGGCCUACUGGGCACCAACUGACGCUGAGGCUCGAAAGUGUGGGUAGCAAACAGGAUUAGAUACCCUGGUAGUCCACACCGUAAACGAUGAUUACUAGGUGUUGGAGGAUUGACCCCUUCAGUGCCGCAGUUAACACAAUAAGUAAUCCACCUGGGGAGUACGACCGCAAGGUUGAAACUCAAAGGAAUUGACGGGGGCCCGCACAAGCGGAGGAACAUGUGGUUUAAUUCGAUGAUACGCGAGGAACCUUACCCGGGUUUGAACGCAUUCGGACCGAGGUGGAAACACCUCUUCUAGCAAUAGCCGUUUGCGAGGUGCUGCAUGGUUGUCGUCAGCUCGUGUCGUGAGAUGUUGGGUUAAGUCCCGCAACGAGCGCAACCCUUAUGGUCAGUUACUACGUAAGAGGACUCUGGCCAGACUGCCGUUGACAAAACGGAGGAAGGUGGGGAUGACGUCAAAUCAUCAUGCCCUUUAUGACUUGGGCUACACACGUACUACAAUGGCGUUAAACAAAGAGAAGCAAGACCGCGAGGUGGAGCAAAACUCAGAAACAACGUCCCAGUUCGGACUGCAGGCUGCAACUCGCCUGCACGAAGUCGGAAUUGCUAGUAAUCGUGGAUCAGCAUGCCACGGUGAAUACGUUCCCGGGCCUUGUACACACCGCCCGUCACACCAUGAGAGCCGGGGGGACCCGAAGUCGGUAGUCUAACCGCAAGGAGGACGCCGCCGAAGGUAAAACUGGUGAUUGGGGUG